rnacentral:rRNA from 1 species
UACGGGGGGAGCAAGCGUUGUUCGGAUUUACUGGGCGUAAAGGGCGCGUAGGCGGUCGUGACAAGUCACUUGUGAAAUCUCCGGGCUUAACCUGGGAACUGCAUCCGAUACUGGAUGGCUUGAAUCCGGGAGAGGGAUGCAGAAUUCCAGGUGUAGCGGUGAAAUGCGUAGAUAUCUGGAGGAAUACCGGUGGCGAAGGCGGCAUCCUGGACCGGCAUUGACGCUGAGGAGCGAAAGCUAGGGGAGCAAACGGG